GAGAAGUUGAACCAAUACUUCAUGAAUACCGAGAGAUGAAUGUUCUUGCUCCUAGAAGGGCAAGAUUGAGGAAGACAAAAUAUCCUUGCAAUAAUCACGAAGAGAGAAAGAUUUUCUCAAGCCAAGAAAGAGAUGGUCAAGGCUGGUUGGAGGCACGCUGAUGGCGGCCAUCAAUGUUGAUUCAGAAGUGAAGCCAAAACAUAAUUUCCUGGCACUAUUCUGGAAGGAAAAUAAGUGAGAUAAAGUAAAAAUGACUACAUAGCCAAUUAGAAAAAGCAACUACCACCUCCACUCCAAAAAAGUCAUGUAAAUAAGUUCUAGUCUGUGACUCGUC
rnacentral:lncRNA from 10 species